rnacentral:rRNA from 1 species
GUGGGGAAUUUUGGACAAUGGGCGCAAGCCUGAUCCAGCAAUGCCGCGUGCAGGAAGAAGGCCUUCGGGUUGUAAACUGCUUUUGUACGGAACGAAACGGUCCGGGUUAAUACCCUGGGCUAAUGACGGUACCGUAAGAAUAAGCACCGGCUAACUACGUGCCAGCAGCCGCGGUAAUACGUAGGGUGCAAGCGUUAAUCGGAAUUACUGGGCGUAAAGCGUGCGCAGGCGGUUUUGUAAGACAGGCGUGAAAUCCCCGGGCUCAACCUGGGAAUUGCGCUUGAGACUGCAAGGCUGGAGUGCGGCAGAGGGGGAUGGAAUUCCGCGUGUAGCAGUGAAAUGCGUAGAUAUGCGGAGGAACACCGAUGGCGAAGGCAAUCCCCUGGGCCUGCACUGACGCUCAUGCACGAAAGCGUGGGGAGCAAACAGGAUUAGAUACCCUAGUAGUCC